GACAGAGGUGGCAAGCGUUGUUCGGAUUCAUUGGGUGUAAAGGGCUGGUAGGCGGCCUUGAAAGUCUGACGUGAAAUCCCAGAGCUCAACUCUGGAACUGCGUUGGAAACUUCUUGGCUUGAGUAUCGUAGAGGUUAGGGGAAUUCUCGGUGUAAGGGUGAAAUCUGUAGAUAUCGAGAGGAAUACCAGAGGCGAAGGCGCCUAACUGGGCGAUUACUGACGCUGAGCAGCGAAAGCAAGGGGAGCAAACAGG
rnacentral:rRNA from 1 species